rnacentral:rRNA from 1 species
AUUGAACGCUGGCGGCAUGCCUUACACAUGCAAGUCGAACGGCAGCACGGACUUCGGUCUGGUGGCGAGUGGCGGACGGGUGAGUAAUGUAUCGGAACGUACCUUUCAGUGGGGGGAUAACGUAGCGAAAGUUACGCUAAUACCGCAUAUUCUGUGAGCAGGAAAGCAGGGGAUCGCAAGACCUUGCGCUGAUUGAGCGGCCGAUAUCAGAUUAGCUAGUUGGUGGGUAAAGGCCUACCAAGGCUACGAUCUGUAGCGGGUCUGAGAGGAUGAUCCGCCACACUGGAACUGAGACACGGUCCAGACUCCUACGGGAGGCAGCAGUGGGGAAUUUUGGACAAUGGGGGCAACCCUGAUCCAGCCAUGCCGCGUGAGUGAAGAAGGCC